AGGAUCCUCAAAAGGGUAUGCUCCUACUAACAUUACAUAUAGUGUCACUCCACAUGACCACACGUCUGCGAUCUUCCCAUCAUAUUCCUUUCGUGACAGGACCUCAGGGGCAAUGUAAGCAGGAGUUCCCACAGUCGACUUUGGUUGUGAAUGCAGUAAACCAGACUUGGAAUAACCAAAAUCGCAUAUUUUUAGACGCGGUGAAGGACUUCCAUCAAGAAGAGUGUUUUCAAGUUUCAAGUCCCUGUGACAAAUUUCCAUGGUAUGACAGUAGCUGACACCGGAUAUAAGCUGUUGGAAGAAGAAGCGAGCCUCGUCUUCACUAAAUCUGCCAGCAGUGCAUAUUCUACCAAAAAGUUCUCCACCUGCUGCGUACUCCAUAACAAUUGCCAAAUGCGACGGAGUUACCAGGACCUCUUUAAACCUGACAAUGUUCGGAUGCCUCAACGAUCUAUGAUUUAUAAUUUCUCUCUGCACAUUCUCAUCA
rnacentral:misc_RNA from 1 species